UGUUAAACAUCGAUUGUGCAUCGUGUGAACUGGAUGUGCGUGUCUGCGGAGGAAAUUGUGCACUGCAAUGGCAUUUAUUUGCAAGGAAAAUUACCUCAAAUUGGCAAUCACGCCUCCCUAGUAUGCAAUCCGGAUGCAGCGCGACUUUUCAACUUGCUCGAGGCCGCCAUUUGAGGUUGUCCAUUAUCUGCAGCAGAGAUAUCACAACAUUUGUUUGUUUUUUUGUAUUUACGUUCUCCUUAAGUUUCCUCUAUAGUGAAGAUUGGGCCAAUUUCUGGCGGACAUUUCUUAAGGAGGAAUUUCUGUGAAACGGAGAUGUUCAGAACGUCUAGCACUUUUCAUGUUUGUGAAUGCGUGUAGACUACCGUUUAUUCAACUAAGACAAGGCAAGGGCGUAAUCUAACCACGUGAUGCAACAGGCCAGCAGAAGGAGAGUGCGCAAUAUAUUCGAUACAACCAGCACCACGUCGAAUUUCAUUCGACACUACAAAUCCCUCAAAAAACUUUUGCUCCAGGAGAUGGCAGAGGCGCUUCCCUCACGGCGGUGACGUGUUCUGUAUGUCAGGCUUUUAGAAGAGCUUGUCCAGAAUUCCCCUUUUAAAGCAUACAGCAAACGGCCAGUUUGGACUACAGUCCUCUAUUUCCUGCUUAAA